UACGUAGGGUCCGAGCGUUGUCCGGAAUUACUGGGCGUAAAGAGCUCGUAGGUGGUUUGUCGCGUUGUUCGUGAAAACUCACAGCUCAACUGUGGGCGUGCGGGCGAUACGGGCAGACUAGAGUACUGCAGGGGAGGACUGGAAUUCCUGGUGUAGCGGUGGAAUGCGCAGAUAUCAGGAGGAACACCGGUGGCGAAGGCGGGUCUCUGGGCAGUAACUGACGCUGAGGAGCGAAAGCGUGGGGAGCGAACAGG
rnacentral:rRNA from 1 species